CUACGGGUGGCUCCAGUGAUGAAUAUUGCACAAUGGGGGGAACCCUGAUGCAGCAACGCCGCGUGGAGGAUGAAGGAGUGAGGGGUGUGAAGGGCGGGGAGGGGGAAAGAAAAGGAGAGGAGCAUAUGAAUAAGCACCGGCUAACUCCGUGCCAGCAGCCGCGGUAAUACGGAGGGUGCAAGCGUUACUCGGAAUCACUGGGCGUAAAGGACGCGUAGGCGGGUUGGAAAGUCAGGUGUGAAAUCCUACAGCUUAACUGUAGAACUGCACUUGAAACUUCUAAUCUAGAGUAUGGGAGGGGGAGAUGGAAUUAGUGGUGUAGGGGUAAAAUCCGUAGAUAUCACUAGGAAUACCUAAAGCGAAGGCGAUCUCCUGGAACAUUACUGACGCUAAGGCGUGAAAGCGUGGGGAGCAAACAGGAUUAGAUACCCCCGUAGUC
rnacentral:rRNA from 1 species